rnacentral:rRNA from 2 species
GGCAGACGGGAUAGUAACACGUGGGAACGUACCCUUCAGUUCGGAACAACCAAGGGAAACUUUGGCUAAUACCGAAUACGUCCGUAAGGAGAAAGAUUUAUCGCUGAAGGAUCGGCCCGCGUCUGAUUAGCUAGUUGGUGAGGUAAUGGCUCACCAAGGCGACGAUCAGUAGCUGGUCUGAGAGGAUGAUCAGCAUCACUGGGACUGAGACACGGCCCAGACUCCUACGGGAGGCAGCAGUGGGGAAUAUUGGACAAUGGGCGCAAGCCUGAUCCAGCCAUGCCGCGUGGAUGAUGAAGGCCCUAGGGUUGUAAAGUCCUUUCGGCGGGGAAGAUAAUGACGGUACCCGCAGAAGAAGCCCCGGCUAACUUCGUGCCAGCAGCCGCGGUAAUACGAAGGGGGCUAGCGUUGCUCGGAAUCACUGGGCGUAAAGCGCACGUAGGCGGACUCUUAAGUCGGUGGUGAAAUCCUGGAGCUCAACUCCAGAACUGCCUUCGAUACUGAGAGUCUCGAGUCCGAGAGAGGUGAGUGGAACUGC